rnacentral:rRNA from 1 species
CAGUAGCCGCGGUAAUACGUAGGGUGCAAGCGUUAAUCGGAAUUACUGGGCGUAAAGCGUGCGCAGGCGGUUAUAUAAGACAGAUGUGAAAUCCCCGGGCUCAACCUGGGAACUGCAUUUGUGACUGUAUAGCUAGAGUACGGCAGAGGGGGAUGGAAUUUCGCGUGUAGCAGUGAAAUGCGUAGAUAUGCGGAGGAACACCGAUGGCGAAGGCAAUCCCCUGGGCCUGUACUGACGCUCAUGCACGAAAGCGUGGGGAGCAAACAGGAUUAGAGACCCCUGUAGUCCCUGUCUCUUAUAC